rfam:Gossypium raimondii Chr02_contig_206, whole genome shotgun sequence.
UGUUAAAAAUUACAUAUAUUUGCAUUGUUAAAAACUGGGUGAUUGAUGAAACAACUAGAUAGUGGCAUAACAUCUGUACCUCAAGCUGACAUACAAAGACCAAUUUUUAAUAGUAUAAAUGAAUAAAUUUUUUAACU